CCUACGGGCGACAGCAGUGGGGAAUAUUGCGCAAUGGGCGCGACCCUGACGCAGUCACGCCGCGUGAUUGAAGACGGCCUUCUGGUUUUAAAGCUCUUUAAUUCGGGACGAAACACAUGCCGGUCCCCACAUUCUACGCUUCCGCUAACUACGUGCCAGCAGUCGCGGCAAUCCGUCGGGCGCAGUCGUUCUCCGGAUUCGCUGGGUGUAAAGGGCGAGUAGGCGGGAUGGCAAGUUGGGAGUGAAAUCCAGGCGCUUAACCCCCGAACUGCCUUCAAAACUGCUGGUCUUGAGUGAGGGAGAGGCAGGCGGAAUGACGGGUGUAGCGGUGAAAUGCGUAGAUAUACGGAGGAACACCAGUGGCGAAGGCGGCAUGCUGGAGAUUAACUGACGCUGAGGAGCGAAAGUGUGGGGAGCAAACAGGAUUAGAUACCCUUGUAGUC
rnacentral:rRNA from 1 species